ensembl:lncRNA
ACCACCACCCCAAUAUUUCACAGUGUGACCUGCUGUCACUUUCCAUGCAGACGAGUAGACAUAUUUUGUGUUGAACAAAAGGAGAUGGUGGCGCACACAGGUGUGUGACACGCUGUCCCCGUUUAACGAUGUAUGACGGCCAUCGUUUCAUGUCAAUGAAAGUAAUUCUGCCGCACAGACUUUCCCGGCCACGGUGUGACUGUGUGAUGGUGUGAUAAUUUACUCAGUCCCCGUUCCUCCUGAAAACAUUUAUUUUUAUUGCGCAAUUAAUGUAUAUUUAUUGUAGGGAAGUUUUUAAAUGGCAACGACCACAAGCAGGAAGUACGCGGGUCACCCACACCCCCGCGGCGGCGGCCAAUCCGUGUCUGUCGCGCCCAGCCUCCCUCACUUUUCUUACAGAAAUGGGUUUCUUACUUUUCUUACAGAAAUGGGUUUUGGGGAAUGUUCUGUUUCACCUCUUGUCUUCCGCUCGCUGCUCCCGCUCUGCUGUUCCUUUCCUUAGGAUGCCGUUAUCGGCGGCUGCACAGAACGCCAUUGUGUGAAAACACGGGAUUUUCCGUCCCCAGUGAGUGCUUAUUGUCGAUAUUUAGGCUUCCUAUUUGCCAUUCAGAAGACGCUGCAGUAAGGAGGCUUCUGGCNNNNNNNNNNNNNNNNNNNNNNNNNNNNNNNNNNNNNNNNNNNNNNNNNNNNNNNNNNNNNNNNNNNNNNNNNNNNNNNNNNNNNNNNNNNNNNNNNNNUGAAAACACGGGAUUUUCCAUCGCCAGUGAGUGCUUAUUGUCGAUAUUCAGGCUUCCUAUUUGCCAUUCAGAAGACGCUGCAGUAAGGAGGCUUCUGGCAAAUUAUUUUUCAGGGCAAGUUUCUACAAGCAGAGUGGGUGGGUCAGAAGGUGUGCGCAGUAGGUGCGGACCGGCUGGUGAACUCUCGUCCAAAAGCAGCACCACUUUCCCACCAAGACAGCGUCAAUGCCCACAUUCCCACACUCCUGUAACCCGGAACGUAACAACAGUAAUAGUACAGUGCCGGCUUUAUAGGUGAAAAUGAUGGCUGGCUGUUUUAAUUUGUGCGUACUUGAAUACUAAUGAGGUUGAGCAGAGUUUCAAAUGCCUUUUGCUAUUUGUAUUUAUUCUAUUCAAAAUUGUUCCUAUUCUUUGCUCAUUUUUCUAUUUGUAUGCUAAUAUUUCCUUGGUUAUUUAUACGUUAAGGCUAUUAACCCUUUCCCUGGACACAUAUAUUGUGAUUAUUUCCCCUAAUAGUCUUUCUCUCUUUCAUUUUGCCAGCCUUGUCUGUUCAGCAGGAGCCUCAGAUGCUGAUGCAGUCAGACCCUCUCUUUUGUGAUGUUGCUUCUGGUGUCGCUCUCAGGAAAGCUUUUCCCUGCUCAUACACUCGGCUGUACUUUAUGGUUUGUUUUUACGUUAAUUUUCCAUUUCUCUUCCUAGAACCUGUUUCCUUUCGAUAACGUUAUGGAGCAGAACCGUGUUUUCUCACCACCCUGGCCAGCUCCCCCUCUCCCAGGAGGAUGGGGCGGCUCUGGUGCCCCGUGUCCUGCCCAGUGGGUCCACAGCUCAGCCUCCUCGGCUCCCCUGUUCUCGAGGCCUCUAGCGAGCUGUGACACCCAGAGACCCCUGUCUCCUCUUUUCAGCACUUCCCCGUGAACUAAUGAAAUCUUCCUGGGCUGCUUUGCAGUGAUAUUUUCCAAAUCAAAAAGAUAAAACCCUGAUUUGGAUCUGGAGUUGAACUGUGUCAUCUUGAGAGGUCAGUUUAUAUAAAUGCCGCAAUAGGAUUAAAUCUUCCAAACAGGGGUCAGGCAUGUCUCCAUGUACCCAACUCUUUCUCGACCUCUUCCAAACGCCUUUUUAAGACUCCAUAAAAGCAAACAAGCAAAAAGAAGCCUCCUGUUGUGCUGCGUGGAGGACGCAGAGCUGGAUGGUGCCUCCGUCUCUGCUUUUUGUUGAACGGGCUCGUCCAGGUGUUCCGAUGGUCAGAUGUCCCACCAGGCUGUCCCGGCGGUUGCAGAGGAAGGCGUGUUUUCUAAGGUUCCGCGGUUUCUGCACCCGCUCCCCUGCCCCCAUCCCGAUUGCUCUUCCUACUGCUGCGACUCGGGGUCUUCAUUGCUUGCUCUUCCCUUGGUGUGUGGCCUCUCAGGGUUCUAAGAAGGGGAUUCUAGCCCUUUUCAGUGGAGUGUUUCCACCAGCUCCCUCCGGUUUGCCGGGCUUUGCUCUGUGUUUGACUGUGCUGUGACAGCUGGGCGCUCCUGGUCUGCACAGCGCUUUUUGUCUUAAAUUCGGCUGCAUCUGAAGCCUGUAGUUGACCUGUGAUUUCCUUCUGAUUUAUGUCUGGUAUGUUUUUAUCUUUUGUGACUGUGCUUUGCGAAUGUCUGCCAGGAACAGCAUUUA